rnacentral:rRNA from 1 species
GGGGGAUAUUGCGCAAUGGGGGCAACCCUGACGCAGCAACGCCGCGUGAAGGAUGAAGGUUUUCGGAUUGUAAACUUCUUUUAUUAAGGACGAAACUUGACGGUACUUAAUGAAUAAGCUCCGGCUAACUACGUGCCAGCAGCCGCGGUAAUACGUAGGGAGCAAGCGUUGUCCGGAUUUACUGGGUGUAAAGGGUGCGUAGGCGGCUUUGCAAGUCAGAUGUGAAAUCUAUGGGCUCAACCCAUAAACUGCAUUUGAAACUGUAGAGCUUGAGUGAAGUAGAGGCAGGCGGAAUUCCCCGUGUAGCGGUGAAAUGCGUAGAGAUGGGGAGGAACACCAGUGGCGAAGGCGGCCUGCUGGGCUUUAACUGACGCUGAGGCACGAAAGCGUGGGUAGCAAACAGGAUUAGAUACCCUGGUAGUCCACGCUGUAAACGAUGAUUACUAGGUGUGGGGGGUCUGACCCCUUCCGUGCCGGAGUUAACACAAUAAGUAAUCCACCUGGGGAGUACGGCCGCAAGGUUGAGACUCAAAGGAAUUGACGGGGGCCCGCACAAGCAGUGGAGUAUGUGGUUUAAUUCGAAGCAACGCGAAGAACCUUACCAGGUCUUGACAUCCAACUAACGAAGUAGAGAUACAUUAGGUGCCCUUCGGGGAAAGUUGAGACAGGUGGUGCAUGGUUGUCGUCAGCUCGUGUCGUGAGAUGUUGGGUUAAGUCCCGCAACGAGCGCAACCCUUGCUAUUAGUUGCUACGCAAGAGCACUCUAAUAGGACUGCCGUUGACAAAACGGAGGAAGGUGGGGACGACGUCAAAUCAUCAUGCCCCUUAUGACCUGGGCUACACACGUACUACAAUGGAUGUUAACAGAGGGAAGCAAGACAGCGAUGUGGAGCAAACCCCUAAAAACAUUCUCAGUUCAGAUUGCAGGCUGCAACCCGCCUGCAUGAAGAUGGAAUUGCUAGUAAUCGCGGAUCAGCAUGCCGCGGUGAAUACGUUCCCG